UUGUGCUAGGCGGGGCUAUAGCGGCGCCCUUUACCCGAAAUCCGCUUUACGCGGGGCUGAAUUCUUUCUGGAGGAUUUCUCCUGAGAUGUAAAUUGUUCUGACCGGUCGCCACGCAACAGACCCCCACGAACCUCGUCAGGUCCGGAAGGAAGCAGCGAUAAGUGAUGUGGUUUGUGUCGUGGAUCGAUCCCGGUCAUGUUAUGAUUCUGCCUUUCCGGAGAAUUCGAUAGCGAGUGCACAA
rnacentral:SRP_RNA from 1 species